rnacentral:rRNA from 1 species
UCGGGUUGUAAAGCACUUCUGUCCGGAAAGAAAUCCUUUGGGCUAAUACCCCGGGGGGAUGACGGUACCGGAAGAAUAAGCACCGGCUAACUACGUGCCAGCAGCGCGGUAAUCGUAGGGUGCAAGCGUUAAUCGGAAUUACUGGGCGUAAAGCGUGCGCAGGCGGUUCGCUAAGACCGAUGUGAAAUCCCCGGGCUUAACCUGGGAACUGCAUUGGUGACUGGCGGGCUAGAGUAUGGCAGAGGGGGGUAGAAUUCCACGUGUAGCAGUGAAAUGCGUAGAGAUGUGGAGGAAUACCGAUGGCGAAGGCAGCCCCCUGGGCCAAUACUGACGCUCAUGCACGAAAGCGUGGGGAGCAAACAGGAUUAGAUACCCUGGUAGUCCACGCCCUAAACGAUGUCAACUAGUUGUUGGGGAUUCAUUUCCUUAGUAACGUAGCUAACGCGUGAAGUUGACCGCCUGGGGAGUACGGUCGCAAGAUUAAAACUCAAAGGAAUUGACGGGGACCCGCACAAGCGGUGGAUGAUGUGGAUUAAUUCGAUGCAACGCGAAAAACCUUACCUACCCUUGACAUGGUCGGAACCUGGCUG